GUGGGGAAUCUUCCGCAAUGGACGAAAGUCUGACGGAGCAACGCCGCGUGAGUGAAGAAGGUUUUCGGAUCGUAAAGCUCUUUCGUUAGGGACGAACGUGCUCUUUGUGAAUAAUGAGGAGUAAUGACGGUACCUAAAUAAGAAGCCACGGCUAACUACGUGCCAGCAGCCGCGGUAAUACGUAGGUGGCAAGCGUUGUCCGGAAUUAUUGGGCGUAAAGCGCGCGCAGGCGGGAUAUCAAGUCUGUCUUAAAAGUGCGAGGCUCAACCUCGUGAGGGGACAGAAACUGGUAUUCUUGAGUGUCGGAGAGGAAAGUGGAGUUCCAAGUGUAGCGGUGAAAUGCGUAGAGAUUUGGAAGAACACCAGUGGCGAAGGCGACUUUCUGGACGAUGUCUGACGCUGAGGCGCGAAAGCUAGGGGAGCGAACGGGAUUAGAAACCCUUGUAGUCC
rnacentral:rRNA from 1 species